rnacentral:rRNA from 1 species
UACGUAGGGUGCGAGCGUUGUCCGGAAUUACUGGGCGUAAAGAGCUCGUAGGUGGUUUGUCGCGUUGUUCGUGAAAACUCACAGCUCAACUGUGGGCGUGCGGGCGAUACGGGCAGACUGGAGUAGUGCAGGGGAGACUGGAAUUCCUGGUGUAGCGGUGGAAUGCGCAGAUAUCAGGAGGAACACCGGUGGCGAAGGCGGGUCUCUGGGCAGUAACUGACGCUGAGGAGCGAAAGCGUGGGGAGCGAACAGG